AGUUCUCUUCCUGCCACCACUUGAAGAAGGACGUGUUUGCUUCCCCUUCUGCCGUGAUUCUAAGUUUCCUGAGGCCUCCCCAGCCAUGCUGAACUAUAACAAUGCAGUGUCUUCAUUCAUAAUGGAUUGCAGUUCCCCACUCAGGAAGAGGACAUUUUUUUUAAAACUACAUGAUACAACUGAGAGCUUGGAAGCUAUCCAUGCAUAAGUUUUAAAACCCAGCAGCUUCAUGGUUUCCUCCUUCUGUUGGCCUGGCCAGUGGACACAGUGGUCACGUUCCUGGCAUGGAGAUGUCAUUCAUGGUCUCUCAGACCCAAGUGUUACCAGUGAAGGGUGUCCAGGUUCUUGGCGCUUUGAACAAAGAAUUGGACAAAACUCACAAACAAAGCAAGAAAAGAAAGAAGCAACAAAAGCAGAGAUGUAUUGAAAAUGAAAACACACUCCACAGGGUGGGAGCAGGCCGAGCAAGCAGCUCAAGGGCCCAGUUACAGAACUUUCUGGGGUUUAAAUACCCUUUAGAAGUUUCCAUUGGUUACUUGGUGUACACCCUAUGUAUAUGAAGUAGUGGCCUGUGAUCAGUCUGAUUGGUUGGAAGGGACCAAUCAGAAUGCAAACGUCUGAUUAGUUGUGGAAAGUGACCAAUUAGAGGCUGAAGUGAAGUUACAAAGUAAUACUCCCACGCAAAUGAAGACUUGGCCCACAACCAACCUGAUUGGUUGUGAGAGGGGACCAAUCAGAGGGACUUUCAGUUUUUCACCUGCAAUGCAGAAAAAGGGUGGCAGGUGAGGGGUGUUGCAAAGGGAGUAGCCUCUGGUCCUUUUGUUACUUGGGCACUUGGGCGUGGAAAGUGGGGGUUUUCCUUUUGAUUUAGUUCUAGGAAGUCAGCGUGAAUUGGCCUUACAUUCCCUGCCUCCAGACCCUAUUCUCCUGCCUCACAAGUGCUCCUAGGAGCUGUACAUGCCUGUCUUUGUCCCCAUGUAGUCAGCUCGUUACAGGUGGGUCCUGCUGGGUCUUUCGUUCUUGCUUCUCUGCUUCAAGAUGGCUAAUAAGUCCUGGUCCAGUGAGUCCCCAGUGCAGACAUAGAGCAGAAGGGAAGUGGGUCCAGUUGCAUUUCCUGCAGUUUAAUAAAGAACCCUGUGCUCUCUGGCCCAUUACCUAAAGCUGAUAUUGUGCUUGGAACGUGUAGUGUUAUCCAAUCCAGCUUUACCACUGCUAAAGCUGAUACCACGCUUUGAUCCUCUGCUUGCUCAUUUUGCCAAGUUCUUAACUGCGUGGAACUGGAAGGUGAGGGCUGGAUGAUUGAUUUUUCACCCUGCCCCCAAACUCCAACAACCGAAACCAAGGGUUCUUGAAGAGAGAGGGGCAGGGCAGCAACAGGGAGACUGAAACUUGGGGUGGG
rnacentral:lncRNA from 1 species